CGAGCGGUAGAGAGAAGCUUGCUUCUCUUGAGAGCGGCGGACGGGUGAGUAAUGCCUAGGAAUCUGCCUGGUAGUGGGGGAUAACGUUCGGAAACGGACGCUAAUACCGCAUACGUCCUACGGGAGAAAGCAGGGGACCUUCGGGCCUUGCGCUAUCAGAUGAGCCUAGGUCGGAUUAGCUAGUUGGUGAGGUAAUGGCUCACCAAGGCGACGAUCCGUAACUGGUCUGAGAGGAUGAUCAGUCACACUGGAACUGAGACACGGUCCAGACUCCUACGGGAGGCAGCAGUGGGGAAUAUUGGACAAUGGGCGAAAGCCUGAUCCAGCCAUGCCGCGUGUGUGAAGAAGGUCUUCGGAUUGUAAAGCACUUUAAGUUGGGAGGAAGGGCAUUAACCUAAUACGUUAGUGUUUUGACGUUACCGACAGAAUAAGCACCGGCUAACUCUGUGCCAGCAGCCGCGGUAAUACAGAGGGUGCAAGCGUUAAUCGGAAUUACUGGGCGUAAAGCGCGCGUAGGUGGUUUGUUAAGUUGGAUGUGAAAUCCCCGGGCUCAACCUGGGAACUGCAUUCAAAACUGACUGACUAGAGUAUGGUAGAGGGUGGUGGAAUUUCCUGUGUAGCGGUGAAAUGCGUAGAUAUAGGAAGGAACACCAGUGGCGAAGGCGACCACCUGGACUAAUACUGACACUGAGGUGCGAAAGCGUGGGGAGCAAACAGGAUUAGAUACCCUGGUAGUCCACGCCGUAAACGAUGUCAACUAGCCGUUGGAAGCCUUGAGC
rnacentral:rRNA from 1 species